rnacentral:tRNA from 1 species
GGGCGUGUAGUUUGAACUGGUAAAUGCUCGGCGCUGGCCGAGAGAUGCGGGUUCGAGACCCGCCACGUCCUCCA